CCUACGGGGGGCUGCAGUGGGGAAUAUUGGACAAUGGGGGCAACCCUGAUCCAGCCAUGCCGCGUGUGUGAAGAAGGCCCUCGGGUUGUAAAGCACUUUCAGUGAGGAAGAACGCCUGGUGGUUAAUACCCAUCAGGAAAGACAUCACUCACAGAAGAAGCACCGGCUAACUCCGUGCCAGCAGCCGCGGUAAUACGGAGGGUGCGAGCGUUAAUCGGAAUUACUGGGCGUAAAGCGCGCGUAGGUGGCUUGAUAAGCCGGUUGUGAAAGCCCCGGGCUCAACCUGGGAACGGCAUCCGGAACUGUCAAGCUAGAGUGCAGGAGAGGAAGGUAGAAUUCCCGGUGUAGCGGUGAAAUGCGUAGAGAUCGGGAGGAAUACCAGUGGCGAAGGCGGCCUUCUGGACUGACACUGACACUGAGGUGCGAAAGCGUGGGUAGCACACAGGAUUAGAUACCCUUGUAGUA
rnacentral:rRNA from 1 species